GAUGAACGCUGGCGGCGUGCCUAAUACAUGCAAGUCGAGCGAACAGACGAUGAGCUUGCUGGUCUGACGUUAGCCGCGGGCGUGUGAGUAACACGUGUAUAACCUCCCUAUAAUACGGGGAUAACUUCGGGAAACCGGAUCUAAUCCCGGAUAAUAUCUUGCACCGCGUGGUUCAAUGGUGAAAGACGGUGUUUGUGUCACUUCUAGCUGCAUCCGGGCUGCAUUAGAUAGUUGUUAAGGUAACGGCUUUCCAAGGCAACGAUGCGUAGCCGACCUGAGAGGGUGAUCGGCGACACUGGAACUUAGCCACGGUCCAGACUCCUACGGGAGGCAGCAGUAGGGAACCGUACGCAGUGGGGGAAAGCAUGACGGAGCAACGGCGCGUGAGAGAUGAAGGCCUUCGGAUCGUAAUACUCUGUUAUUAGGGGAGAACAGAUGUGUAAGGAAAUGUGCACGUAGUGACGGUACCUAAUAAGAAAGCAACGGCUAACUACGUG
rnacentral:rRNA from 1 species